CACACACACACACACACACACACACAGUGUUACAACAGUUAACCUCUCUCUUCCUCCCUCGCUCUCUACUCCUCCCCUCUCUUUAAGUUUCCUCCCCCAAUCCUUGACUUAACAUGCUGCUUCAGUCUCACAGUGGAGACACUCAGAGAGCACCACAGAGAGAGACAGCAGCAGCAAACCAAAGACCGCACUACUACUGUCCCCCUCUCCACCUCUUCUCUCCACUACUACUGUCCCCCUCUCCACCUCUUCUCCACUUCUUCUCUCUCUCUGUGUCUCCCUUGUUCAUCUUGUCAGGUCAGUGUGGAUGUGAGAUGGGUUGUGGAUAUUCCUCAACGACCAGCACGGCUGGAGGAGGUCCAGGCGAAGCCCCCAAAGAAGAAGUCACAGAGGAGUCUGCACAAGAAGAAGAAAAAAGGAUGAACUAUGGAGGUGUGUAUGUGGGACUACCAGCAGACCUGAGCAUUAUGCCUCCUAUCCAGAUGGGAACACACCAAGAUGAGUGAAGCAUCAUUGAAACACCUUUCACUAAAGGUAUGAUGUCAACAGCUCCGAUCUCAAUAUCAGAUGUCAAUAUCCUAUGUUAAACUCUCUGCCUCAAUCUCAGAAGUUCAUCUUUUGGGACUCUCACACCCACUACAGAGAGGGAGAGAGAGAACCUUCAGGAUAAUGAUGAUGUCAACAAGAAUGAAGGAAUGAAUUGUUCUCUUUGAUCUCUGAUUGGCACCAUGGGACCCAGUAGAACCCCUGGGGGACCAAUCAUCUCCCUCUCUCGCGCCAUAGGAACUGAACUGGGAUCAGUUUCUAAGGUGAGUAAUCAGACAAUGGGUCAUAUGCUCACCAUGGAUGUGACUGCUCAGGAGUCAGCGUUGUGUUUAAUAGGCACAAAACAGAAGAAAAAAGUCUAAAACUCAAUGAAAGGGAGAGGUACUUGUCCAAUAAGAAAUACUUGUUUUCAUUUGGGUUCCACAAAAUUUGAAAACAGGCACCUUAAUGAACACGACCCAGGUCAAAGGGCAUCACGGAUGUUGGAGUCGGCAUUCACCACUCAGGAUCAUGAGACAAGACAACCUUCUACUCAGAACUAAAUGUCAGACGGGAUCAGAUAGGCCUAUUCAGAUCUCAGCAAUACCAGGAAACAAAACAAGACCUCUCUCAGAACUCCUAUUCAAAUAUUUCUUGAUUUUCUCUCUCUGCCUCUGAGUCAAUAGUUCUCAGAAAUUCUCUCUAUAGGAGCUGGAUCAAAUGUUCCCCAUUGUAUAAUUGGUCGAAUAGAGAAGAAUCUUUCUUCACUCAAUAUGUAGCAUAUGUAUUUGGAGCAUCAAUAUGUAGGCAUAUGUAUUUGGAGCAUCAAUAUGUAGGCAUAUGGAUUUGGAGCAUCAAUAUGUAGCAUAUGUAUUUGGAGCAUCAAUAUGUAGGCAUAUGUAUUUGGAGCAUCAAUAUGUAGGCAUAUGUAUUUGGA